rnacentral:rRNA from 1 species
CCUGCCCUGUGACUAUAUGUUUAACGGCCGCGGUAUCUUGACCGUGCGAAGGUAGCGCAAUCACUUGUCUUUUAAAUGGAGACCCGUAUGAAUGGCAUAACGAGGGCUUAGCUGUCUCCUUUUUCAAGUCAAUGAAAUUGAUCUUCCCGUGCAGAAGCGGGAAUAAGACCAUAAGACGAGAAGACCCUAUGGAGCUUUAGACACCAAAGCAGCUCAAUGUUAAACACCCCUAAAUAAAGGGCCAAACAAAAUGAAACCUGCCCUAAUGUCUUUGGUUGGGGCGACCGCGGGGAAACAAAAAACCCCCAUGUGGAAUGGGAACACCCUCUCCUAAAACAAAGAGCUCCCGCUCUAAUGAACAGAACUUUCUGACCAAUCAGAUCCGGCAACGCCGAUCAACGGACCGAGUUACCCUAGGGAUAACAGCGCAAUCCCCUUUUAGAGCCCAUAUCGACAAGGGGGUUUACGACCUCGAUGUUGGAUCAGGACAUCCUAAUGGUGCAGCC